GUGCUCACUUUAGCAGCACAUAUACUAAAAACUAGGAUAAUACAGAGGAGAUUUCUAUGGCCCCUGUGCAAGGAUGACAAGCAGAUUCAUGAAGCAUUCCAACAUUCC
ensembl:snRNA U6 U6 spliceosomal RNA